rnacentral:rRNA from 1 species
AUCCAUAGCUGGUCUGAGAGGAUGAUCAGCCACACUGGGACUGAGACACGGCCCAGACUCCUACGGGAGGCAGCAGUGGGGAAUCUUGGACAAUGGGGGCAACCCUGAUCCAGCCAUGCCGCGUGAGUGAAGAAGGCCUUAGGGUUGUAAAGCUCUUUUGGCGGGGACGAUAAUGACGGUACCCGCAGAAUAAGCCCCGGCUAACUUCGUGCCAGCAGCCGCGGUAAUACGAAGGGGGCUAGCGUUGUUCGGAAUCACUGGGCGUAAAGCGUACGCAGGCGGAUAGAUAAGUCAGGGGUGAAAUCCCGGGGCUCAACCUC